UACGUAGGUGGCAAGCGUUAUCCGGAAUUACUGGGCGUAAAGCGCACGCAGGCGGUCUUGUAAGUUUGGCGUGAAAGCUCUCGGCUUAACUGGGAGAGGUCGCUGAAGACUGCAAGACUUGAGGCAAUGAGAGGGGUGUAGAAUUCCUGGUGUAGUGGUGGAAUGCGUAGAUAUCAGGAGGAAUACCAGUGGCGAAAGCGGCACCCUAGCGUUGAUACUGACGUCAU
rnacentral:rRNA from 1 species